CUGAAGUGGGAAGGAAGCUCCACCCUGGGUGUGGGUGGCACCAACCAGUAGGAUUGUAGCCUGGGUGGAAUAAAAAGGGAAAGAGAAAGCAGAUCUUGCUUCUGCUUCUUCAGAGAGCUCCAGGCUUCGCCAGUGGCUUUGGACUUUCAUCUUCAGCCUUCCGACCAAACUCAGUUGGCGAAUCUGUGGAUGUGGAACCCAUGGAUACAGAGCACUGACUGUGAAAUUCAGUUCUCCAAUAAGAAUUCAAGGAAAGCAGAAGUAUCAAACUGGACCACUUCCCCUGCUGACCUAGCUGACCCAGAAGAUCAGGCUUUGUGCCUUUGCCUGACUCGUGAGUGUCUGUGUCUUCAUCUACUGAAGAGUAGAAGGGAAAGCAAAGGAGAGUGACCAGGAGCACAUUGUAAGCCUAAGCACCCGGAGCUGCGCACCUCUGGAUAGUGACUACAUAUACUGACAGUGCCUCUCUGGAUGUGUCUUCUAUUGUGAAACCUGGAGCUCUGAAUUCUCACCAUCCUUAAGGGUUUAUUUAUGUUUAUUUUGUUGCAAUUCAUCAUUUUGGGGUUGGGGGAAUGUUGCUGGGAAUCGAACUCAGGGCCUCAUGCUUGCCAGGCAGGCUCUGUGCUGCUGAGCUACAUCCUCGGCCCUGUUGCAAGUCAUCUUAAAGAUGAAAGCUGAAAGGUAGGCGGUUGAGCUUCUCUUUCAACAUCUGGUGUUUACUACAGCUCUGUAAAGUAAAU